AAUUGAACUUUUUUUUUCCCCUGAAAAACAAUUGAAAAGAGAAUAUAAGGAAUUAUUUCCUCCUUUUCUUAAUUGUUAAAAUUAAAUACAUUUUAUCUAGAACUGAAAUCAGUUUGCUUAAAAACUAAGUCAUGUCAUUCUUAAAAAAGCUAGUCUUCUGAUUCAGCUGGGAGGAGAGGUUGUUCAGAUGGUCUGAGAAAUACCUGUCUUUGGAGAUAUUCAAAACUCAAUUGGAUGAGGGCUGGAAUGACUUAAUUAACUGGGAUGUUAACCCAUAUUGGAGUAUGGGAUGGGCUAGAUGUCUUGUAGGCCGAGUUUGUUUGCUAUUGUAUGGCUACAAGAAGGAAUAGAAAUUUGCGAGGAAAAAAACAUAUAGGCAAGACAGUACUGACAACCUCAAUUUACAGAAAACUAUAUGACAGUGGCAUAUACCUAGUAUUUUAUGAAUUUGAUAUGUGAAUGAGAUAUCUCCGUAUAGAUCAUUGUGAUCUUUAGAUGUGGAAUUACAGUAGAUGCAAAACUGGACUCAAUGGUAAGAAAAGCUAUUAUCAGUAUAAAAAGAAACUGAAGACUAUGUUAAAUACACUGUGGAUCUGUAUAAUAGUGGUUAAUGCAGAAAGCAAACAGGGACCAUUUAUGUCUGUCUGAAAAAAUCUAUGCGAACCUAUGAAGUCCACCAUAUGAUCAGAAAAGUGGUAUCAAAUGUUAAGAAGAAUUUAAAUCUGCUGGAAGAAGUACCUCUCAUCACACAAAAUGGCACAUGUGUUUUGGGGCUGUUUCAAACUUUGCUGUUUGCACGGUAUUUUUUAAAACAACACUUACAUGGACACAUGCAGAAGAGAAAAUAUCAUCAUCCCAAGAUUAAAGUCCUGCACAGCACACAAGGAAUGGAAGAAAAUUUCAGUGUAGCAGAUUUGUGAAUUGAAUAGACUUCUUCAGAUUUCCAUGAGAAAAAAAAUGACAAAAGUGGAUUCUACUGACCAUGGAAGAAGAGUUAAUGCUCCAAAAAUACACCUUUCUGAUUCAGUUUUUAUUGAGCACUGGAACAGUCUCCCCAGAGGUAUGGUCAUGGUACCAAGUCUGUUGAAACUCAAGGAGCACUUGGAAAAAAAUAGACAGUUUCAUUCUUAUGUAGUUGUGUGAAGCCAAGAGUUGGACAUGAUGAUCCUUGUCUC
rnacentral:lncRNA from 1 species